CCUACGGGAGGCAGCAGUGAGGAAUAUUGCACAAUGGAGGCAACUCUGACGCAGCCAUGCCGCGUGAGUGAAGAAGGUUUUCGGAUUGUAAAGCUCUUUCGGAUGUGACGAUGGUGACGAUAGCAUCUAAAGAAGCCCCGGCUAACUGCGUGCCAGCAGCCGCGGUAAUACGAAGGGGGAAAGCGUUGUUCGGAAUUACUGGGCGUAAAGGGAGUGUAGGCGGUUUAGUAAGAUAGUGGUGAAAUCCCAGAGCUUAACUUUGGAAUUGCCAUUAUAACUAUUAGACUAGAAUGACAGAGAGGAUAGUGGAAUACCAAGUGUAGAGGUGAAAUUCGUAGAUAUUGGGUAGAACACCAGUGGCGAAGGCGACUAUCUGGCUGUACAUUGACGCUGAGGCUCGAAAGCAUGGGGAUCAAACAGGAUUAGAUACCCCUGUAGUC
rnacentral:rRNA from 1 species